CUAAUUAAAACGUCAGCCAUGUUCGAGUGAUAUAAUUUAACGCGCCGCGGUAUACUGACCGUGCGAAGGACACAUAAAUCACUUGUUCUUUAAAUGGGGACUAGUAUGAAUGGCAACACGAGGGCUUUACUGUCUCCUCUCUUCAAUCAGUGAAACUGACCUCCCUGUGAAGAGGCAGGGAUACUACUCUCACACGAGAAGACCCCAUGGAGCUUUAAACCCAACAACAGCCCAAACACCCACCCCCUCAAAGUUUUAAAGUUUUGUUAGUUGGUUUUAGGUUGGGGUGACCGCGGAGUAUAAACUACCCUCCACGACGAAUGGGCCUACCCCCUUACCCAAGAAUUACACCUCUAAGGAUUAACACAUUAACGUAAAAUGAUCCAAAUAAUUGAUCAACGAACCAAGUUACCCUGGGGAUAACAGCGCUAUCCAUUUUUAGAGCCCCUAUCGACAAAUGGGUUUACGACCUCGAUGUUGGAUCAGGGUAUCCCGGAGGUGCAGCCGCUUCCAAUGGUUUGUUUGUUCAACAAUUAAAACCCUACGUGAUCUGAGUUCAGACCGGA
rnacentral:rRNA from 1 species